rnacentral:rRNA from 1 species
UACAGAGGUGGCAAGCGUUGUUCGGAAUUACUGGGCGUAAAGGGAGCGUAGGCGGGCUUCUAAGUUAGAUGUUUAAUCCCGGGGCCCAACCCCGGACAGGCACCUAAAACUGGAAGUCUUGAAUAGUGGAGAGGACGGCGGAAUUGGGGGUGUAGCGGUGGAAUGCGUAGAGAUCCCCAAGAACACCAGUUGCGAAGGCGGCCGUCUGGACACAUAUUGACGCUGAGGCUCGAAAGCAUGGGGAGCAAACAGG